UACGGGGGGAGCAAGCGUUGUUCGGAUUUACUGGGCGUAAAGGGCGCGUAGGCGGCGCAACAAGUCACUUGUGAAAUCUCCGGGCUUAACCCGGAGCGGCCAAGUGAUACUGUCGUGCUAGAGUGCGGAAGGGGCUACUGGAAUUCUCGGUGUAGCGGUGAAAUGCGUAGAUAUCGGGAAGAACACCCGUGGCGAAAGCGGCGCGCUGGACACUACUGACGCUGAGGAACGAAAGCUAGGGGAGCAAACAGG
rnacentral:rRNA from 1 species